UGGGGAAUAUUGGACAAUGGGCGCAAGCCUGAUCCAGCAAUGCCGCGUGUGUGAAGAAGGCCUUCGGGUUGUAAAGCACUUUUAUCAGGAGCGAAACGCUGUCGGCUAAUACCCGGCGGAACUGACGGUACCUGAGGAAUAAGCACCGGCUAACUUCGUGCCAGCAGCCGCGGUAAUACGAAGGGUGCAAGCGUUAAUCGGAAUUACUGGGCGUAAAGCGUGCGUAGGCGGUUUCUUAAGUCUGCUGUGAAAUCCCCGGGCUCAACCUGGGAAUGGCAGUGGAUACUGGGAGGCUAGAGUGUGUCAGAGGGUGGUGGAAUUCCCGGUGUAGCGGUGAAAUGCGUAGAGAUCGGGAGGAACAUCAGUGGCGAAGGCGGCCACCUGGGACAACACUGACGCUGAGGCACGAAAGCGUGGGGAGCAAACAGGAUUAGAUACCCUGGUAGUCCACGCCCUAAACGAUGCGAACUGGAUGUUGGUCUCAACUCGGAGAUCAGUGUCGAAGCUAACGCGUUAAGUUCGCCGCCUGGGGAGUACGGUCGCAAGACUGAAACUUAAAGG
rnacentral:rRNA from 1 species